GGGAAAACGGGUGUUCUAAUACCUGGAUAUCGAAUCCUAUCCUCCGGCAUGGUGUGUGGGUAGAAAGAUUUUAUUCGGUUUUGGAUGGACUCGCGGCCUAUCAGCUAGAUGGUGAGGUAAUGGCUCACCAUGGCGACGACGGGUAGCCGGCCUGAGAGGGUGACCGGCCACACUGGGACUGAGACACGGCCCAGACUCCUACGGGAGGCAGCAGUGGGGAAUAUUGCACAAUGGGCGCAAGCCUGAUGCAGCAACGCCGCGUGAGGGAUGACGGCCUUCGGGUUGUAAACCUCUUUUAGUAGGGAAGAAGCGAAAGUGACGGUACCUGCAGAAAAAGCACCGGCUAACUACGUGCCAGCAGCCGCGGUAAUACGUAGGGUGCAAGCGUUGUCCGGAAUUAUUGGGCGUAAAGAGCUCGUAGGCGGCUUGUCGCGUCUGCUGUGAAAUCCCGGGGCUCAACCCCGGGCCUGCAGUGGGUACGGGCAAGCUAGAGUGCGGUAGGGGAGAUUGGAAUUCCUGGUGUAGCGGUGGAAUGCGCAGAUAUCAGGAGGAACACCGAUGGCGAAGGCAGAUCUCUGGGCCGUUACUGACGCUGAGGAGCGAAAGCAUGGGGAGCGAACAGGAUUAGAUACCCUGGUAGUCCAUGCCGUAAACGUUGGGAACUAGAUGUAGGGCCCGUUCCACGGGUUCUGUGUCGUAGCUAACGCAUUAAGUUCCCCGCCUGGGGAGUACGGCCGCAAGGCUAAAACUCAAAGGAAUUGACGGGGGCCCGCACAAGCGGCGGAGCAUGCGGAUUAAUUCGAUGCAACGCGAAGAACCUUACCAAGGCUUGACAUAGCCGAGAACGACUGUAGAGACACAGAACUCUUUGGACACUCCGGUUACAGGUGGUGCAUGGUGUC
rnacentral:rRNA from 1 species